rnacentral:misc_RNA from 1 species
GCAUGGUAUGCUUUGAUCACAUACUAACGUGUUUAGUGUUUUGUGAGUGGGUUUCCCCUCAUGAGCUGCCGGCUCGUUUGUGGUGAUUGAUCCUGCCAAUGGGACGGCGCAUGAGUGGUGAUUAGGAUGUGCUUUCAUGCAGGCUCUACGUUUUUUAUGUUGAACUGUGUGGAGCUAUCCAUUUCAGUAGUCCGUUGCCUCGGCUUGUCUUUGCUGUUGCAAAAUGAUUUGGUGGUUUUUGUGUUAUCUACCGAUUUCGGUAUGAGCGAUUGAUAGAAUCCGUUGUCUUUUGUUCUUUUCGCUGUUGGCUUGUCUAGUGACGGUGGACGUUGCAUUGGUCUCCUGUGUUCCUUGCAAGUUAUCCUUUUAUGGGAGUGGAUUUGUAAUGGCUCAUAGGUGGCUGUCUUUGCUCUUGGGUAUGUGAAAUAUUUGGUUACCGUUUGGGUCUUUGACCUAUACAUAUCAUAUCUUGAGCAUGUAGCCUUAUUUUGUUUGACCCUCGUGCAUGUUCCUAAGCUCAUUGAGCCUUAGUGCUCAUUGUUCGUCAUGGAGAUGUCGAGGUCUACAAGGAAUGCUC